GGGCCUGUAGCUCAAUUGGUUAGAGCAGAGAACUCAUAAUUCUUUGGUUUCCGGUUCAAGUCCGGGCGGGCCCACCA
rnacentral:tRNA from 1 species